GACGAACGCUGGCGGCGUGCUUAACACAUGCAAGUCGAACGGAAAGGCCCUGCUUUUGUGGGGUGCUCGAGUGGCGAACGGGUGAGUAACACGUGAGUAACCUGCCCUUGACUUUGGGAUAACUUCAGGAAACUGGGGCUAAUACCGGAUAGGAGCUCCUGCUGCAUGGUGGGGGUUGGAAAGUUUCGGCGGUUGGGGAUGGACUCGCGGCUUAUCAGCUUGUUGGUGGGGUAGUGGCUUACCAAGGCUUUGACGGGUAGCCGGCCUGAGCGGGUGACCGGCCCCACUGGGACUGAGCUGCGGCCCAGACUCCUACGGGACGCAGCAGUGGGGUAUAUUGCACAAUGGGCGGAAGCCUGAUGCAGCAACGCCGCGUGCGGGAUGACGGCCUUCGGGUUGUAAACCGCUUUCGCCUGUGCCGAAGCGUGAGUGACGGUAAUGGGUAAAGAAGCACCGGCUAACUACGUG
rnacentral:rRNA from 1 species